rnacentral:rRNA from 1 species
GGGUCAGUAGGUUGGUCGUGCCACCGGUACGUACUGGUCUCACUGAUUCCUCCUUCCUGAAGGACCGUAAUGCCAUUAAUUUGGUGUUGCGGGGAAACAGGACUGCUACUUUGAAAAAAUUAGAGUGUUUAAAGCAAGCCAACGCUUGAAUACAUUAGCAUGGAAUAAUGAAAUAGGACGAUCGAUCCUAUUUUGUUGGUUUCUAGGAUUGACGUA